CUGGUCUUUUUGUUUUGGAUUGCUACUGGCGCAGCCUAUCGGGUUGUGUCCAGAGCUUUUGGCAUUCCAAUGUCAUCUGUCCAUAGAAUGGUGCACAGCAUUGCGGAGGUGGUAGCUGUGCGGGCAGUUUCAUCAAGCUGCCAUCAAAUGAUGAGGAGGUCAAGGCCAUGGGGGAAGGCUUUGCCCUGCUGGCAGGGCACCCUGCUUUCGCUAAAGCAGCUGGGGCCAUCGACGGGUUCCACAUCAAAAUUAAAUGUCCUGGCGGCCCUGAUGUUACUACGUGAACAGGAAGCUGUAUCCAUCCAUGGUGCUGCAGGCAGUCUGUGACCAUCAGGGUUGCUUCAUUGACACCUUUGUGGGCUUCCCAGGAAGCGUGCAUGAUGCACGCAUCCUGCGAAAUAGUUUGAUUUACCUGGCUGGCAAUUACCCUCCACCAGGCCAUUUCAUCUUGGGUGAUGGUGGCUAUCCAUACCUUACAGCCGAUAGCCCUUAUCACACCAUAUAAGCGGCCACUCUGAGGCAUGGCAGAGCAACGGUUUAACACUUAUCACUCUCGGGCCCGCUCAAUUGUUGAGCGGGCCUUUGGGAUGAUGAAAACCAGCUUCAGGUGCAUCUUUUUAGAGGCACUUGCAGUGCAUAGUGAGUUUGUGCCAAAAGUGGUGACUGCGUGUGCAGUACUGCACAACAUUUGUGUUGGUGUGGGCGAUGACCUCCCAGUGGAGGAUGGGGCCAUGGAGGGAGAUGACCCCUCCUCCUGAAGGAGAAUGUGGCACCGAGUCACAGAUUGGAGCUCCUUGGCGUGCGGCCCUGGCCAAUGCCAUUACCCCUCUUGAAGUGGCUCCACAGGACCACAACUACUUUGUUCUGCCUGUGACCGGACCAAGACAUACAUUUUAACAUAACAUUUUUUGGGGUAUUUUUUAAUCACUUGUCCGUUAUGUGUUUUUCUUGUGGUUGAUCGAAUCCUCUUUAAAUAAAUCCAUUCCUUUUUUGUAAAACUAAGUGAAAUUGUCUGAGAACUUAAUUUAUGCAUCACAUUUUUACAGUAUGGUUGAUUAUUAAUUAUGCAGGGGAAAAAGGAC
ensembl:lncRNA